AUCGCAUUCCCAUUGUCCUUCUCCACAAUGUUUAAAUAUUUUCUAAUUCGCUAAAUAAUUCGCUUCGCUUUUCGCAUCUAAUUCGUUAGAAUGAUUUACGGCGAAAUUGCGAAACUUCUUUAAACCAUUUCUUGUUUCGUACAUGUGUAUCUCUGGUGUAUUGGAACUAUAGGUAUCAAUUUACAUAUUGUCUGCUUAAUAAUCGAUAUAAUUCAAGUAAACAAAUUGGCAGAAGUGUGAACAAUCUUAUAUGAAUAUUCACAAUCAAUAAUUACUUGCAUUUUUAUAAAUUAUCAAUCAUUGAUCAGCAAAUAUACUUCAAAUAAUUGAUGAU